UACGAAGGGGCUAGCGUUGUUCGGAAUUACUGGGCGUAAAGCGCACGUAGGCGGAUCGAUCAGUCAGGGGUGAAAUCCCAGAGCUCAACUCUGGAACUGCCUUUGAUACUGUCGAUCUGGAGUAUGGAAGAGGUGAGUGGAAUUCCGAGUGUAGAGGUGAAAUUCGUAGAUAUUCGGAGGAACACCAGUGGCGAAGGCGGCUCACUGGUCCAUUACUGACGCUGAGGUGCGAAAGCGUGGGGAGCAACAGG
rnacentral:rRNA from 1 species